UUCGGUGGCCAUAGCGGAGGGGAAACACCGGUUCCCAUUCCGAACACACAGGUUAAGCCCUCCAGCGCCGAUGGUACUGGGGAGGUCCCCCGGGAGAGUAGGUCGCCGCCGAAA
rnacentral:rRNA from 1 species